GGUUAAGCGACUAAGCGUACACGGUGGAUGCCCUGGCAGUCAGAGGCGAUGAAGGACGUGCUAAUCUGCGAUAAGCGUCGGUGAGGUGAUAUGAACCGUUAUAACCGGCGAUUUCCGAAUGGGGAAACCCAGUGUGUUUCGACACACUAUCAUUAACUGAAUCCAUAGGUUAAUGAGGCGAACCGGGGGAACUGAAACAUCUAAGUACCCCGAGGAAAAGAAAUCAACCGAGAUUCCCCCAGUAGCGGCGAGCGAACGGGGAGCAGCCCAGAGCCUGAAUCAGUGUGUGUGUUAGUGGAAGCGUCUGGAAAGGCGCGCGAUACAGGGUGACAGCCCCGUACACAAAAAUGCACAUACUGUGAGCUCGAUGAGUAGGGCGGGACACGUGGUAUCCUGUCUGAAUAUGGGGGGACCAUCCUCCAAGGCUAAAUACUCCUGACUGACCGAUAGUGAACCAGUACCGUGAGGGAAAGGCGAAAAGAACCCCGGCGAGGGGAGUGAAAAAGAACCUGAAACCGUGUACGUACAAGCAGUGGGAGCCUCUUAAUGGGGUGACUGCGUACCUUUUGUAUAAUGGGUCAGCGACUUAUAUUCUGUAGCAAGGUUAACCGAAUAGGGGAGCCGAAGGGAAACCGAGUCUUAACUGGGCGUUAAGUUGCAGGGUAUAGACCCGAAACCCGGUGAUCUAGCCAUGGGCAGGUUGAAGGUUGGGUAACACUAACUGGAGGACCGAACCGACUAAUGUUGAAAAAUUAGCGGAUGACUUGUGGCUGGGGGUGAAAGGCCAAUCAAACCGGGAGAUAGCUGGUUCUCCCCGAAAGCUAUUUAGGUAGCGCCUCGUGAAUUCAUCUCCGGGGGUAGAGCACUGUUUCGGCAAGGGGGUCAUCCCGACUUACCAACCCGAUGCAAACUGCGAAUACCGGAGAAUGUUAUCACGGGAGACACACGGCGGGUGCUAACGUCCGUCGUGAAGAGGGAAACAACCCAGACCGCCAGCUAAGGUCCCAAAGUCAUGGUUAAGUGGGAAACGAUGUGGGAAGGCCCAGACAGCCAGGAUGUUGGCUUAGAAGCAGCCAUCAUUUAAAGAAAGCGUAAUAGCUCACUGGUCGAGUCGGCCUGCGCGGAAGAUGUAACGGGGCUAAACCAUGCACCGAAGCUGCGGCAGCGACACUGUGUGUUGUUGGGUAGGGGAGCGUUCUGUAAGCCUGUGAAGGUGUGCUGUGAGGCAUGCUGGAGGUAUCAGAAGUGCGAAUGCUGACAUAAGUAACGAUAAAGCGGGUGAAAAGCCCGCUCGCCGGAAGACCAAGGGUUCCUGUCCAACGUUAAUCGGGGCAGGGUGAGUCGACCCCUAAGGCGAGGCCGAAAGGCGUAGUCGAUGGGAAACAGGUUAAUAUUCCUGUACUUGGUGUUACUGCGAAGGGGGGACGGAGAAGGCUAUGUUGGCCGGGCGACGGUUGUCCCGGUUUAAGCGUGUAGGCUGGUUUUCCAGGCAAAUCCGGAAAACUAAGGCUGAGGCGUGAUGACGAGGCACUACGGUGCUGAAGCAACAAAUGCCCUGCUUCCAGGAAAAGCCUCUAAGCAUCAGGUAACAUCAAAUCGUACCCCAAACCGACACAGGUGGUCAGGUAGAGAAUACCAAGGCGCUUGAGAGAACUCGGGUGAAGGAACUAGGCAAAAUGGUGCCGUAACUUCGGGAGAAGGCACGCUGAUAUGUAGGUGAAGUCCCUCGCGGAUGGAGCUGAAAUCAGUCGAAGAUACCAGCUGGCUGCAACUGUUUAUUAAAAACACAGCACUGUGCAAACACGAAAGUGGACGUAUACGGUGUGACGCCUGCCCGGUGCCGGAAGGUUAAUUGAUGGGGUUAGCGGUAACGCGAAGCUCUUGAUCGAAGCCCCGGUAAACGGCGGCCGUAACUAUAACGGUCCUAAGGUAGCGAAAUUCCUUGUCGGGUAAGUUCCGACCUGCACGAAUGGCGUAAUGAUGGCCAGGCUGUCUCCACCCGAGACUCAGUGAAAUUGAACUCGCUGUGAAGAUGCAGUGUACCCGCGGCAAGACGGAAAGACCCCGUGAACCUUUACUAUAGCUUGACACUGAACAUUGAGCCUUGAUGUGUAGGAUAGGUGGGAGGCUUUGAAGUGUGGACGCCAGUCUGCAUGGAGCCGGCCUUGAAAUACCACCCUUUAAUGUUUGAUGUUCUAACGUUGGCCCCUGAUCGGGGUUGCGGACAGUGUCUGGUGGGUAGUUUGACUGGGGCGGUCUCCUCCUAAAGAGUAACGGAGGAGCACGAAGGUUGGCUAAUCCUGGUCGGACAUCAGGAGGUUAGUGCAAUGGCAUAAGCCAGCUUGACUGCGAGCGUGACGGCGCGAGCAGGUGCGAAAGCAGGUCAUAGUGAUCCGGUGGUUCUGAAUGGAAGGGCCAUCGCUCAACGGAUAAAAGGUACUCCGGGGAUAACAGGCUGAUACCGCCCAAGAGUUCAUAUCGACGGCGGUGUUUGGCACCUCGAUGUCGGCUCAUCACAUCCUGGGGCUGAAGUAGGUCCCAAGGGUAUGGCUGUUCGCCAUUUAAAGUGGUACGCGAGCUGGGUUUAGAACGUCGUGAGACAGUUCGGUCCCUAUCUGCCGUGGGCGCUGGAGAACUGAGGGGGGCUGCUCCUAGUACGAGAGGACCGGAGUGGACGCAUCACUGGUGUUCGGGUUGUCAUGCCAAUGGCACUGCCCGGUAGCUAAAUGCGGAAGAGAUAAGUGCUGAAAGCAUCUAAGCACGAAACUUGCCCCGAGAUGAGUUCUCCCUGACUCCUUGAGAGUCCUGAAGGAACGUUGAAGACGACGACGUUGAUAGGCCGGGUGUGUAAGCGCAGCGAUGCGUUGAGCUAACCGGUACUAAUGAACCGUGAGGCUUAACCUU
rnacentral:rRNA from 1 species